ACACCUCAAAUCAAGUAAGAAUACCCGCUGAACUUAA
rnacentral:rRNA from 1 species